GACGAACGCUGGCGGCGUGCUUAACACAUGCAAGUCGAACGGAAAGGCCCUGCUUUUGUGGGGUGCUCGAGUGGCGAACGGGUGAGUAACACGUGAGUAACCUGCCCUUGACUUUGGGAUAACUUCAGGAAACUGGGGCUAAUACCGGAUAGGAGCUCCUGCUGCAUGGUGGGGGUUGGAAAGAUUCGGCGGUUGGGGAUGGACUAGCGGCGUAUCAGCUUGGUGGUGGGGUAGAGGCUUACCAAGGCUUUGACGGGUAGCACGCAUGAGAGGGUGGGCGGCCGCCCUGGAAGGGUGACCCGGUACAGAGUGCCAGGGGAGGCACCCGUAGGGCAACGGGCGCAAUGGGUGGAGACUUUAGGAAGAAGCGCGGAGUGCGGAAGGAAGAUCGCCGGGUGGUAAAUGACGGCUUUCGGGUAGGAACACGUUUGCGCGUGUCUCGAAGCGUCUUGGCGGUAACUGGGUAAAAAGCCACGGCUAACUACGGG
rnacentral:rRNA from 1 species